GAUGAACGCUAGCGAUAGGCCUAACACAUGCAAGUCGAGGGGCAUCACAUGAAGUAGCAAUACGGAUGGUGGCGACCGGCGCACGGGUGAGUAACACGUAUGCAACCUGCCUUCAACAAGGGGAUAACCCGUUGAAAGACGGACUAAUACCCUAUAACACAGGGGUCCCGCAUGGGAAUAUUUGUUAAAGGACAACCGGUUGAAGAUGAGCUCGCGUCCGAUUAGAUAGUUGGCGGGGUAACGGCCCACCAAGUCGACGAUCGGUAGCCGGACUGAGAGGAUGAUCAGCCACACUGGAACUGAAACACGGUCCAGACUCCUACGGGAGGCAGCAGUGGGGAAUAUUGCGCAAUGGGGGAAACCCUGACGCAGCGACGCCGUGUGAGGGAAGAAGGCUUUCGGGUCGUAAACCUCUGUCGGGAGGGAAGAACCUUCCAGGACUGAACAAGCCCUGGAACUGACGGUACCUCCAAAGGAAGCACCGGCUAACUCCGUGCCAGCAGCCGCGGUAAGUCACA
rnacentral:rRNA from 1 species